rnacentral:tRNA from 2 species
GCGCGGGUGGUGAAAUGGCAGACACGCCAGCCUAAGGAGCUGGUGCCGCAAGGCAUGCAGGUUCGACUCCUGUCCCGCGCACCA